UACAGAGGUCUCAAGCGUUGUUCGGAUUCAUUGGGCGUAAAGGGUGCGUAGGCGGCGCGGUAAGUCGGGUGUGAAAUCUCGGGGCUUAACUCCGAAACUGCAUUCGAUACUGCCGUGCUUUGAGGACUGGGAGAGGAGACUGGAAUUUACGGUGUAGCGGUGAAAUGCGUAGAUAUCGUAAGGAAGACCAGUGGCGAAGGCGGGUCUCUGGACAGUUCCUGACGCUGAGGCACGA
rnacentral:rRNA from 1 species